UCAAGCACAGUCAAAUACAUGAUCAACGGUCUUCCUUCAACAGGAGGAGACAGAAUCGGAGGCUCAAGCAGAUACUCUUUGAUACUGUCAAAAGCUUUCUGGAAAUCUUCGGUCCAAUCACAAGACUGAUCUUUCCGAAGAAGCUUGAAUAUAGGCGCACAUGUAGCAGUCAUAUGCGAUAUAAAUCUUGAGAUAUAAUUCAAGCGGCCGAGAAAACCUCUGACUUGCUUCUCAGUUUUGGGUGCAGGCGUCUCUUGUAUUGCUUUGACCUUGGCAGAAUCAACUUCAAUACCCUUCUCACUGACAAUAAAGCCCAACAACUUACCAGAACGAACACCAAAUGUACAUUUAAUGGGGUUCAAGCGGAGUUUGUACUUCCUCAAACGCUAGAAUAAAUUCAAUAAAUACUCAACACGUUCUUCUUCAUCACUGGAUUUAGCUAUCAUAUCAUCAACAUAGACUUCGAUCUCCUUAUGCAUCAUAUCAUGAAAAAGAGUAGUCAUAGCUCUCUGGUAUGUCGUACCAGCAUUGUUUACACCGAAAGGCAUCAUUCUAUAACAAAAUGUUCCUCAAGGUGUAAUGAAUGUCGUCUUCUCCAUAUCUUCGGGUGCCAUCUUGAUCUGAUUAUAACCGGAAAAUCCGUCCAUAAAUGAAAAGACUUUGAAUUUAGCUGUAUUGUCUACAUACGUAUCAAUGUGUGGUAGAGGGAAAUCAUCUUUCAGACUAGCUUUGUUGAAAUCUCUAUAAUCGACGCACAUACGGAUUUUUCCAUCCUUCUUCGGAACAGGCACAAUAUUGGCCACCCACUGCGGAAAUUCAACAGUAACAAGGAAACCGACAUCAAUAUGCUUUUGCACUUCUUCUUUAAUCUUCACUGCCAUAUCAGGAUGAGUCCUCCUCAACUUCUGCUUGACUGGCGGGCAUUCUGGAUUCAACGGCAAUCUAUGCUUCACAAUCUCAGAAUCCAAACCAGGCAUGUCUUGAUAGGACCAAGCAAACACAUCUGAAUACUCUCGAAAAAGAUCAAUCAACCCCUUCUUAACCUCUAGACACAAUUGAGACCCAAUCUUGACUUCCUUCACAUCAGCCUCGGAACCCAAGUUGACUAACUCAAUCUGCUCUUCGAAUGGCUGAAUGGCUUUUUCCUCGUGCCCAAGUAGACGUUCUUCAUCAAUCUCUUCCUCAGCCUCAAACACAAAGAAUUCAAAGUUUGGAGAAGGAGUGGGAUCAUUGUAUUCAAUGGGUUUAGAAACCAACCUGCAUAAUGAUAUGAUAUUUUGAUUUUAGAGAAGUGAAUUGUGACCAAAUAUUAUGCAUAUGAACAAUUUAUUAUUUAUUCAAUCAUGUUUUAUGUGAUUACCAUUUUCAGAAAAGCAAAAAGUAAAAAUAAAACAUCAUAGAUGUGGAUGAAUAGAAUUGCAUUUUAUUGAUGAUAAAAAUUUGAAAAUGCCCAACAAUGUUCACUUCUCCCUUAGGCAUAGGAGAAGGAUUUUCUCAAAAUAACAAAAACAAAUUACUUAGGGCGAUGGAUAAUAACAGGAACAUCAACAGCAACCCAAUUAUUACAAGCCUUUCCAUGUGUCACAAAAUUGGCGCAGUCUUCAUCUUCAUCACCCUCGACCACAGCAGCUGAGUGUUGUUCAUUACCAUGAAUGAACACUCCGCUAUGGAAACUCGGUUGCAUAUCUUCAGCUUUAACAUGAGACAACCCUCACUGGAAUCCGAAACCAGAUUUAUUCUUGUUCUCGGCGACCUCUACCAUACGGCCCCACUGCUCUGAACUGCCAUCUUCAAUAAUCUUAUGAGCAUCUUUGAAAGAGGACAUGGGUGCCCCAGUUUUCUUCACUUCAGCAAUAGAUGGAGCUUGGAACGGAGUUCCAACCUCCUCCUCAGCUUCAACAUACGAAAAAGACGACAAAUGGAUUACCAACAACACUUUCUCUCCACCCACAAUGACAAGCUUUCCAUUCUUCACAAAUUUCAAUUUUUGAUGCAGAGUAGACGUCACAGCUCCCGCCACAUGGAUCUAUGGCCUUCCCAACAAACAGCUAUAGGCCGGGUGGAUAUCCAUUACUUGAAAAGUAAUUUGAAAAUCACUCGGACCUAUCUUCACUGGAAGGUUCACUUCUCCUAUAACAGUCUUGCGAGAACCAUCAAAAGCUUUGACGAUCACGCCACUGUACCUCAUUGGGGCGCCUUGAUAUGAUAACCUAGACAGAGUUGACUUGGGGAGUACGUUCAAAGAAGAACCGGUAUCAACCAACACAUUUGACAACGCAUCCUCCUUACAGCUCAUUGAUAUGUGUAGUGUUAGAUUGUGAUUUAUGCCUUCCUCGGGAAGUUCUUCAUCACAAAAGCUCAAGUUAUUGUAGGAAGUGAUGUUAGCCACAAUGUGGUCAAAUUGAUCCACAGUUACAUCAUGCUCUACGUAAGCUUGCUCCAACACUUUUUGUAAUGCUUCUUUGUGCGCUUCAGAAUUCAUGAGCAGAGACAACACUGAAAUCUUUGAAGGAGUUUGGAGCAGCUGCUCCACCAUAUUAAAUCCAUUUCUCUCACUCAGUCUUAAUACCUCAUUAUCAUCAUUAGACUCCAAUUUGCUGGAUUCACCAGACUGACACAUUGGAGCACUAAUCGGGUUUACUACAAGUACAUCAAUCUUCUUACUAACAGACACAUCCUUUAUCCCCUCUUUAGGAAAGAAAGGUCCAAAAAUACGACCGCUACGGGUCACCUUCGUAACAUCAGCAAUGUUCACAACAGAAUUGGUUGUAGGCAACGGAACCUCUUGAUCGUUCACUAACAUGGUAGCAUUAUACUGAUACAAAACAGCUCUAUCUGAUGCAUACGGGACGGGGCCCGCUAACCGUAUUACUAAUGGCGAUAUCGAUCUAUUGGUAUUGUUACUGCUGCUACUAUCAAAUUGAAUCACUACCCGCUCCGGGGUCUUAAACACUGGUACUAUAACAUUCACAUCAUAUAUAUCCCUCGACUGUUGAAUCUGGAUUACAUUCUCAUCCAUCAACUUCUGGAUAUCUCUUUUGACGAUUGAACACCGACGGGGGUUUACACUGCAAAUCGCACAACCGUCAUGGUCGUGCUCACAAUCACUGAUUGUACACAAAGUCAUAUGCAUCUCCACCAAGGACCGACGAAUAUGUCGCACAUCGAAUACUCGGAAACUUCUUGGACAACCAUCUACUAUAUUGACAGAGGAAUUACCAUGAGCGGGCAACGGAUUGUCUUUCACAUUCGGCACACCGUCCUCAAAGGACACCAUCCCACUCUUCACUAACUUCUGGACAUCGUACUUCAAUGGAUAACAGUUUUCAAUAUCAUGAUCGGGAGCUCCUUGAUGAAAGGCACAACGGAGUUCGGCUUAUACCACCAUGGAAGUGGUUCUGGAAUUUGUGGCGGAUUUCUUGGUUGGAGUAGGUUCUUGCGAACAAAAGACAAAUACAGUUCGGCAUAUGACAUAGGAAUAGGGUCAAAAGAGACAUUCUUCCUCUCAAAAUUUUGUUGUUGUUGAUUAUUGUUGAUUAUUGUUGUUGUUGUUGUAGUUGUUUCUUCUUUGUUGUGGUUGUUGACGUUGUUGUUGAACUGACAUUGAUUGAUUGUUUGAGAAUACUGGAAUAACUGACGAAACUUGAUGAUGAUGUUGACGCGGUUGCGAAUUUCUUUUGACAUGAGGCCUCCUCUGCCUCCCCACUGAUACUGCAUUGGUUUCACCUUCCUUUUUUCUGGCAAAACUUCUCACAUACUUCUUACUUGAUGACACCUCUUCUUUAGACAGACGCCCCUCUCAGAUUCCUUCCUCUAACCUCAUCCUCAUGUUUACCAUUUCGGUAAAAUCACUGGGGGCACUAGAAAUCAUGCGCUCGUAAUAAAAUGAACUUAGGGUCUUAAGGAAAAUCUUGGUCAUCUCUUUCUCUUCCAACGGAGGAUUGAUCUGACCAGCAAGCUCUCUCCACCUCUGGGCGUACUCUUUAAAUAUCUCUUUGUCCUUUUGAGACAUAGACCUCAGCUGGUCUCUAUCAGGCACCAUGUCCACGUUGUACUUAUACUGCUUCACAAAAGCUUCACCCAGAUCAUUUAACGUGCGAAUACUUGCACUAUCCAACCUCAUGUACCACCUUAAAGCGGCACCAGUCAGACUGUCUUGGAAGUAGUGAAUCAAUAACUGAUCAUUAUCAGUUUGCAUUGACAUUUUCCUGGCAUAAAUGACAAGAUGGCUAAGUGGACAAGUAUUUCCCUUAUACUUUUCAAAGUCAGGGACUUUGAACUUCAUCAGGAUCUUGACAUUCGGUACUAAACAAAGUUCAGCAACACUCUUAACGAACAAGUCCUUUCCUCUCAACGUCUUCAAUUCCUGUUGUAGCUCAAGGAACUGAUCCUUCUUCUCAUCCAUAUUUUCAUAAACAUCUGGACCCUCAGACGGCUCGGAAUGGUAGAUGGUGUCCUUAACACGAGGCAGAGUGUGAACAACUGGAGGCGGAGCAGACAUGACCGGGCUAGAUGUCGGCUUGGAAGCAAAAGUAGGUGCAAACCCUUCAGGCAUGAAAUUCGGCGGCAUUCCCCACGGGAAUCCGGAAGGCAUAGUCUGACCAAAUUGAGUAGCAGCUGUCAUACCCCAAUUUUGUUCGGGCAUUUUAAAUUUUCAUAAAUUCGAUUUAAUUUUCAGUUUACAUCAUAUGUACAGCAUAACAUGCAUUUUAUCAUUAAUAAUACCUGAAAUAUCAGUCAAAAUUUUCAUAAAUUCGAUUUAAUUUUCAGUUUACAUCAUAUGUACAGCAUAACAUGCAUUUUAUCAUUAAUAAUACCUGAAAUAUCAGUCAGGAUAAAUUUAUUGAAAAUACAGACAAAUCGGUUGAAUAUUUCCUCAAGUACGGACAAAAUCAGCGGAUAAAAAGUUUCGAAAUUAAAAUUACAGACGCCAGUAUUAUUAAUCUACGGUUCAUGUAGUUUAACCUGGUGUGCUCGUUGUAUUUUUCAGCAGCUGUUUCAGUUGCAUUUUGACCCGCCUGAGCCUUUUAACCGGUGCAAACUCAUUUCAGAAUUUGAAGAAACGCUGUAUUUUUUCAAUAAGUAUAUUUCGCACUGAUCAUUUUAAUAUAUUCGAUUUAAUUUUUCGAGCAAAUUUUUGCCCGACUUUUAUUUAUUUUUUAUCCAUUUUAAUUUUAUUCUUGCCAAAAUAUUCGGAUUAAAUAAAUAGAAUUUUCCAUGUCCUUGUUUUAUUUUUAUCAUACUCAUUUUAGAAGUUGAGAAUUUUAUUUGAUUCAAUUGGUUUAAAUUGCUCUAAAUCAAUUAAAUCAUAUAAAAACAACAUUAUAGGCAUUUUAAUUUAUUUAAAUAGUGUGUGCUUCUUGGUGUGGUUCUUUAAUUCGAUCCAGACCAUCAAUUCGAAUUAAUCAAUGGUCCACGUUAAACAAUCCAUGUUUUUCCUAUUUCAUCCAAUCAAAAUGUAGAAAUUAAAUAAAUUGGCUAAAAAAAUUGUGUCUUCCAAGGACAAAAAGUCAGCUAACCUCCUACGGAUAUAAAGAGAUAGAAAAUAAAAAAGGGAGGCAUACAUUUCCAUUGGCCACUCACAGAUUAACGGAUGCUCUCACCUCCAACGGUUGAAAUAUAAAAAUGAAAUAGAAUGUGAAAAAGAAAAAAGGUGGAUUCACGUUCACCACUAGUCAUAAAGAUAAUAAAAAGGAAAUAAAAAAUAAAAUAGAGGAACAAUAUUGUUUCUCUUCUUCCCCAAAACGCACGCCUCUCCAUUCAUUAACACCAGACAAACUCACCUUCACUUCCACAUCAUCAGCGUCGCGCAAACCAACGUCGCAAACACUACCGACAUCAUCGCGUCCAAAAAAAACAUUCACCAAUCACCACCGCGCGCAUCCAUCCUGCUUCCUUCUCCGUCCAACAAUCCCUCUCCAUCACAACCCAACACAUCUCCGCCGCUCUCACUAACCGUCCCGACAACACAACCACUCACUGCCGCGUCUCUUCCCGACCACAACGCGAACCCUCCACCUAACACCAUUGCCUCCCUCCCUCGCCGCCGGAAACCCCAUUCUCCUCCCGACGAUCUACUAUCACCCACCAACCAAACCCUUACGUCCGUGCUUCAUAGCAGAAGUAAACCUUUCGCCUUGCAAAUCGACGAUGUUGUCCAUGCCGCCGUACCUCUGGUUCCCGUCACGUCAUCCUCCGCACGGCCUACCAUAAAUCCCCGUCAAGCGUACUCCAGUUCAAUUUCUUCGCAGCUUCAUGGUCACUUUGCAGCAGCAUCGGCGGUUUCAAACACAACAAUGACUUAAUCCGCAACAACUACGGUAAUACAUACAUUGCCACGAAUCCGUUACCACCUGUGUUUGUGUCGUAAUUGUUUCCACCAUUGAUAUUGAGUAAAAUUGGUAGGUUUUUUGAUGAGUAGCAUAUGCAUUGUCUUGGCUGUGUGGUGAUGUGAAUUUGAUUGUUUAUAUUUCUAAAAAAUUUAACUAUGAAAAUGAAUUGCAAUAAGUGAAGUUUUGAAUCAUGAUUUCAUUUCCUGCGUUUGUAUUGUUUGAGCUGAUAGAGAAAGGGAUGUUGGAUUUGUUAAGUUUGAUUUAAGUUGUUACUUUUCAUUUCUGCUACUUCACAAAAGGGAAACGAACAUUUUUUUAACUCUCAGGUUAAUUCCUUUUAAUUACCCAAAGCAAUGCAAUGCGGACCAAUUAAAAGAAUUUAUUUUGUAUAUUAUAAUUAUCUAUAUUUGGUUACUAUUGAAAUGAAAAGAAAUUAUAGAAACCGCAUAAAAAUGUGUGUUUGGAAAAGAAUAGAAAAUCAAUUAUUUCCUUUCAUUCUUCAAUUUCGUUCAUUAAUGUUGUUAAGUGGAUGCAAGUGGAAAAGUGUAGCCUGUUUUUUUAUUAUUCACUACAUUAUUUUCUAACUUUUAUUUACUUAUUAGAUUUAGAGAAAGAAUUAAAGUGAUGAUUGUUAGGUUUAUUAUUUGUUCUCACCUUCCAUUUGCAAUAAUAAGUGUCGAAAUAAUUUAUAAGAGUUAUUGUAAUGUAAUGUUGGUGAUCGUUUGAUUCUAUUACGUUUAAUCGAGACUUUAACCGCGGAUCCGGCAAUUUCAUGUCGGUAUAUCGCCAAAUUUCAAUACAUUAAUAGAAUAUUUUUCACCGCGUUUAGAUUUCGCGAAUAACGUUAAAUGUUGUUAUCUCGCAUAAACCGGUUCGAGCACACCGAUUCAAUUCAAUCAAGUAAAGCAACUUUAUUAUCCAUUUUUUUCCUCUUUUGAUUUAAUUAAUUGAUUAAAAUUUGUAAUUAGUUUAAUUUUGAUUAAUCAAUUUUAAUUAAUUUAAUUAUUUGAUUUAAUUAAAUAAUUUUGAUAAUUAAUUUUAAUUAAUUCAAUUAACCGAUUUAACCAAGUUUUAAUAAACUAAUUUCGUUAAAAAGAAAUCGAUUGAUUUCUCCCAUUAUCACAACUUCACAUUAUUUCAAACAAAAAAAAAACUAUUUUAUGUCAUCAUCAAUUCAUAAUCACUCUCAAGUCUAUUCUAAACCAAUUCAUCAUCAUUUCAAAACAACUUCAAACCACAAUUCUCGAUUCAAAUGUCGAGCCCGUUUUCAAACACCCUUGUAAGUCGAUCGCAUUUAAAAGCAUCGCCAUCCACCUCGCAUAGCUUACUCUUGGGCUUUCUUUUAAUGAGACCUAUUCGGUUAUUAAUUAAUCGAGUAGAUGAAUAAUACACUAAAAAUAAAAUUCAUUUCAUUACAAAACACAAAUUUAAAACCUCGAUCCAAUGUCGAGUAUUUUUUCUAUCCAAAUCAAAUUGAAAUACCCAAUCACAAUCAAGCACCAUUUCAUUUGGAAGUGAAAAAAUUCAUUUCAUUACAAAACACAAAUUUAAAACCUCGAUCCAAUGUCGAGUAUUUUUUCUAUCCAAAUCAAAUUGAAAUACCCAAUCACAAUCAAGCACCAUUUCAUUUGGAAGUGAAAAGGGGGAUGGCUUUGAGUUUUCAAUUCCUCUCCUCGAUUAUUUGAAUACAAGUUCUCUUACUUGGUUAGUCAAAUAGUCGUCACUUCCAUCCACCUAAGCACAAACAAAUCGAAUCAUUUUAUAAUAAGAAACGAAAAAGGAGAUGACUUUGAGUCUUCAAUUUUUCACUUCGAUUAUUUGAAUACAAGUUCUCUUACUUAGUUAGUCAAAUAAUUGUCGUUCCUCCACAAACUUCCAAACCCCGAUUAAAUCAAAACACUUUCAUAAUAACGAAAUGAAAAGGGAGUUGACUUUGAGUUUUCAACUUCUCUCCCCAAAUUGUUUGAAUACGAGUUCUCUUGCUCGGUCAGUCGAACAAUUGUCAUUUUUCCACAAACAUACAACUUAAUCAAAUCACUUUCGUAACAAAUUAUACAAAAAGGGAGAUGGUCUUAAGCCUUUGAUUCCUCUCCUCAAAUGCUUGGAUAUGAGUUGUCUUACUCAAUCAUUCAAGUACUUGUCGUUCAUUAUAAAAACACGCCAACCAUAUACAACCUCAUUUUCAUAAAUAUUCAGAUGAAACAGAAAGCGGUUUAGAGUCUUCUAUUCCCUUUCUCGAUUAUUAGGAUACGAGUUGUCUUACUCGAUUAUCCGAGUAUUCGUCAUCCGCUCAAAACACCUUAACUAUUAUCAAAUCUUUCCUAUAAUUAAGGAUGAAAAAGAAAGUGGUUUAGAGUUUUCUACUCCCUUUCCCGACUGUUAGGAUACGAGUUGUCUUACUCGACUAUCCGAAUGAUCGUCAUCUGACCAACAAAACAUCCCACAUAAUUUAUUCAACUUGUCACCCCCGUGUGACCAAAACUAUUUUCAGAAAGAACACUGUUAAUCCUUUCUAAUGCGCACAACAAACUAGUGUUUAAGCCUCCGCCGAGAGAAGACAAGCCAACGUUUAGCCUUUAGAACGCGAUCUAAACAGUUGUUCGGUAAAAGACACCAACCAACCGUAGUCCCGAACUACCAAUGCUCUAAUUUCCUUAUUGUACCAUAAGGAUACGUAGGCAGGAGAUUGUUGUAUCUUCGUGAGCACACUAAUAAAAAAACCUCUCAUUUCCCUUUUUGAGGUUCUCAUCCAUUUCUAUUUUUAAAAUUUUAUAACCCAAAGAUAACAAAUAAACACAAAUUAACACUCGAAACGCAAAUUAGAACUAAAAGGUUUCCGUUGAGUACAACGGACGUAAGGGGUGCUAAUACCUUCCCCUUACGUAAUCCACUCCCGAACCCGAAUAUGGUUGCGACGACCAUUAUUCUAUUUCCUAAAGGUUUUAUCGAUAUUUUCCUAUUCCAGGGGUGCUAAUACCUUCCCCUUACGUAAUCCACUCCCGAACCCGAAUAUGGUUGCGACGACCAUUAUUCUAUUUCCUAAAGGUUUUAUCGAUAUUUUCCUAUUCCUUCAUUGGGAUAAAUAAAGUUCAGUGGCGACUCUGUUCGAACAUAAUUUUUUCCGCGACCAUCGCGAGGAAUCGUAUUUUUCGAGAUGCGAUGGCAGCAAUAGGAACGGUUAAACUAGAAACCUCUGAGAUGACAGUCCUCUGAGGAGGAGGAGGAGUUGCGGGAGUUGGAAAAGAGUGAUUCUGAGCAGCUAUAACAGACUCCAUCAUAGCAGUCAGACGAGCAAUCUCAUAUUUCAGCUCUCGGUUCUCUUGCUCCAAAUGUUCCAUGAUUCUCGGUUGAUUGGCGCGAGUGUUGUGUCGGUUAGUCAGCUUGGUUGAAGCAUAGAAGAAUAACUGAUAAGACAUCUGGCAGAAGAAACCUGUUUAUGCAAAUGAUGCAUGAAAUGCAAUGUUUUGAUUGUUUUUAUUUUCAAGGAACAUACUAUUUUAUUUGCAAAUAUAUAAUAAUAACAAUUUGAUUGACCAUAAAAAUCUCUUUUAUUCAUAUAAUUUGGAAGGAUUACACUGAGUACAAUUUCAGAAACCAAAAUACAAAUACAAGAGAAAAAGAGACUAGUUAUCUUAAGGAUCCCCUAACAACAGUGUUAGAUGAUAUGG
rnacentral:lncRNA from 1 species